GCAAGCUAGUGGAGAAAAUUGGUUGUUUGUGACUGAACCCUACUUUGUUCCCUCUCUAAACUCUAUAAAGCCACACACACACACACAUAAUGUUCUAGAGUGGUCCAUGUCACACACUUUGUAUGGCUAACAACCUAACUCAUUUUCUUCCCAGUAAAUCUCUCUUUUUUCAUUUUUUUCACUGUCGAUCCAUUUGAUGCUUGAUGCUUAAUUCAAUUCGCUUCUAUAUAUAUAUAUAUAUAUAUAUAUAUAUAUAUAUAUAUAUGUCAAGACCUAAUUAUACUAGCUAGCUGGCUACUUCGAUUGCAAGUCCUUUCCAUGCUUUUCCACAGCUUUCUUGAACUUCUUCUGCUUGAAUUUUGAUCCCCAGAAAUCAUAUGGUAAAUAAGUUCAAGAAAACUGUGGGAAAACAUGGUAAUUCUGGACUUUUUACUGCAAUCUCAGAAGGCCCCUUCUUCUGUGCUGCCGCAGAUUCACUUCUCCACCGAUCUCCAUGAAGUGGAGGGAUGUUGAUGAAGCCGGCCGUUGUUAGAAGGUUUAGCAAUAAUACGUAUAUGUUAUUUGGAGUAUUUAGUAUUUACCAUGGUAAUUAAAUCACUGUUAAUUAGUUACCAGUUACCACUACUGUUGGAAAUGCUCUUUAAUUCUUAAA